CAGGCCUAACACAUGCAAGUCGAGCGGUAGAGAGGUGCUUGCACCUCUUGAGAGCGGCGGACGGGUGAGUAAUACCUAGGAAUCUGCCUGAUAGUGGGGGAUAACGUUCGGAAACGGACGCUAAUACCGCAUACGUCCUACGGGAGAAAGCAGGGGACCUUCGGGCCUUGCGCUAUCAGAUGAGCCUAGGUCGGAUUAGCUAGUUGGUGAGGUAAUGGCUCACCAAGGCUACGAUCCGUAACUGGUCUGAGAGGAUGAUCAGUCACACUGGAACUGAGACACGGUCCAGACUCCUACGGGAGGCAGCAGUGGGGAAUAUUGGACAAUGGGCGAAAGCCUGAUCCAGCCAUGCCGCGUGUGUGAAGAAGGUCUUCGGAUUGUAAAGCACUUUAAGUUGGGAGGAAGGGCAUUAACCUAAUACGUUAGUGUCUUGACGUUACCGACAGAAUAAGCACCGGCUAACUCUGUGCCAGCAGCCGCGGUAAUACAGAGGGUGCAAGCGUUAAUCGGAAUUACUGGGCGUAAAGCGCGCGUAG
rnacentral:rRNA from 1 species